UACGAGGGGGGCUAGCGUUGCUCGGAAUCACUGGGCGUAAAGGGCGCGUAGGCGGCCAUUCAAGUCGGAGGUGAAAGCCCAGGGCUCAACCCUGGAAUUGCCUUCGAUACUGUCUGGCUAGAGACCGGAAGAGGUAAGUGGAACUGCGAGUGUAGAGGUGAAAUUCGUAGAUAUUCGCAAGAACACCAGUGGCGAAGGCGGCUCACUGGCCCGAUACUGACGCUGAGGUGCGAAAGCGUGGGGAGCAAACAGG
rnacentral:rRNA from 1 species